GCCCACUUAGCUCAGAUGGUAGAGCUUUGUACUUAUGGGGUUACUUUAUGUCUACGCAUAUUGUGAAAUGCAAGGGUCGGCAGUUCGAUCCUGCCAGUGGGCA